UCAGGCUGCCAGGCUGUAUUGACAGCUGACACAAAUAUGUAGAGCCAAUCAGUAUCUAGGGGACGUCAUGCAAAACGGAAAUGCAAAGUCAAACACCGGGAGGAAGGGAGAACAGCCAGAAAGGAGAGCGCAGAGAUGCAUUCAAAUUGGACAGCAGUGAAGGUCCACUGCAUGUUCACAGAGAACUACCUCCUCAGACUGUUCUGAGUGUUCUCAAACGUUUGCAGAGAACUCAAGGCAGACAGAAAGCUGUUUCUAAUCCCCCUGCCAAUCAGGAGGCCAUCAGGCACACCUGGGCACACCUGAGCACACCUGGACACCUGCUGCAGACAGAGGAAGAAAGAGCAGAGGCACAGAACGUGGGCCAGAUCAUGUUACAACACACACACACACACAUCUCCAUGGUCGAGAAGACACAGAGACAGCACUGCUGCAGACAGGCAGUGGUGCAAAAAACAACUCUGUGAUGCCUGUCAAGAGAACACUGGACAGAGGAGCGAGGGAGAGAGUGAAACAGAGGGAGAGAGAGAGAGAGGCAGAAAAGAGGAGACACAAGAGAAAAAGAGCUGAAUCCAGAGGCUGAUUUCAUAGUCUUCACACGUUAUGGGUCCCAUCUGAACAACCAACACAGAGUUCAGACACUAAGAAAGAGCAGUGAGAGAGAAAGGGAGGGAAAAAGAGAGAGAGAGAGAAAGGGAGGGAGUAUAUAUGUCAGUAUAUGUGUGUAUGUAUAUGUGUGUAUGUUUAUGCUUACAGUACAUUGGCCCUCAUUUAUCAACAAAGCGUAGAAACUAGCAUAGAUCUGAGUGCAGAAAUCAUCUUACGACGGGGCUAUUUGACAUCUUUAGAACAGUAAACAUUAUCGGAGGUGUCAAAUGUUGAGUUACUCCAGUCUAGAUUUUUUUACUUUCAUCACUCCUAUGAUGUAUUGCUAUUGUCUAUUCAAAGUGAAAUGCCUGUUUCGAAGUUAACUGAUGGUCUGUGACGUGCGCCUGUGACGCGAGUUUGUGUGAAAGAAUAGCCUGGCUAUCCUAAGUCAUCAAAUGUGUCAACAUAACAGGCUACAUUAUGGCAAAUAGGCUACAAAUGUGCAGGCAAGUCUUAGGUCCAAGAUAUUCCAUAAAUUCAACUCUUCAACUUUCCAACCCACCGCCAAUUUACUGCUGCAUGGUGCUAUGCCGCCUGAAAAACUUGCAUACACGAGAAAGAGGUAGUUGGAGUCUGGAGAAAAAUCAAGACAGAGCAAGCGAAAGAGAGAGAGAAGGAACAGGGGAUGGAGACUGCAAAAGAGGGGACAGGAAAUGGCCUCUCAUGAAGUAUCUUCGU